rnacentral:lncRNA from 1 species
GCAGCAUAUGGAAGUUCCCAGGCCAGGGAUGGAACCUGUGCUUCAACAGCAACCCAAGCUGCUGCAAAGAAAUGCCAGAUCCUUAACCUGCUGCACCACAGCGGGAACUCCUACAACAUUUUGUAUAGCAUGUCUCCAUUUGAAUGUUUAAGGAUGAUAUAUGAUAUUAAUGAUUAAUAAUUAUCUCAAUUGAUAACAUAAUCAUUCAAUGCCUUUUAUGUGCCAGACUCAUUUAACUCCCAUGAACAUUCCAUGAAGCUGAUACUAUUAUUAUCUUCAUUUUAGAUAUAAGGAAACUAAGAUGCAGGGCAAUUAGAAAACUUUUCCGAAGUUACCCAGCUAGCAACUGGAGGAGCCAGGAUUUAGACAGAUAGUAUAUUCAUGAAUAGUUUAUAACCAUAAUCCUCAAUGCUGCUUAUCUCUGUCCAGUGACAUUGAGAAUCUAAGUUCUUUUAGAUUGUUAGAACAUUCUUUUUAUACUUAGAGUUGCCAGGAAAAAACACAGAACACCCACUUAACAUUUGAAUUUCAGAAAAAAAAAUUGAUUUUUAGUAUAUCUUAUGAAACAUUUGGGACAUACUUAUACAGAAAAAAUAUUAGUUCUAAUUUCUCUGAAAUUCAAAUGUAACUGAGUGUCCCAUAUUUUUAUUUGCUAAACCUGACAACCUACUUAUAGUGAGCCUUCAAAUGGCAAGGCUGGCAAUUCCUUUGCCAUGGUGAAUUAUCGAUUCUCCAGCAAAGUGCCAGAUCUGAUGAAGCAGGAUUUCAACAGGUGGCCUUAUUCAGAUACUGAAGUUACUCAAUUAAAUUAUGACAUAUUAGUUUGGGAUGAUUCUGAAACAACGGUCCCUGAAGCUCUGCCUUCCCUUGAUUUUCUGACUGAAAAGGAAUGCCUUAUCAACCAGGAGAAAAUUCAGGGGCCCUUAAAGAUAUAAUUUGGCUCUAUUUCUAGACCUAGAGGAAUUCACCCAGGUCCAGGAAGAGGAUUUUGUUCUUCAAAUGCUCUGCCACUAAAAAGCAUGUUAAACCCUGGAGACAGAUGCCCCACAUUUGGGUAUUGAAACAGAAUUUGUAUAGGAUUUGAACACAGCUGUACAUGUCACCCUUCCUCUGGGUCCAUGAGACCCAAUAGAAUAGCAAGUGUGUCUCAUUAGCUGAUGGAAUAUAGAGCCCUCUUGGGAUUCCUAAGAUCUUCUGAUCUGCAGUCAGAUGCGUUAUCCAUUGAGCUACUGACCCACCUGGAGUCUCGUUGAGAUUCAUGAUGGGGAGGAAGGUGUUAGUCUCAGACUGCGGGUCCUGAGGAUGCCGAAACCCAUGCUCCCUUUUGAAUGUGAGUUACCACCUACUAAUUGAAUCCAAAACAAGAAAUGAACAUCAAGUACUCUUCUGCAUCCCAAGCUGUGCAGUGGGAAGCGGGAACCAUUCAAACAAAUGCAAGCUCCAUUGUUAAAGAAGAGGAACCCCAAGGAUAGGAAAGCCCUGGCGCGCCCUCUUCCCGCCGCUGUGGAGGCCAGACCUGGGCAAGAGCGCCCCCUGCAGACACCUAGCAUCAUUGCCAAGGAAGCACUGUCUUACAGCUGCUGCUGGGUGCAUGGAUAACUCCACCACUCAGUAGCAAUCAUCCUACACUUAGCUUGGUGGGGGGAGGGCUAUUUCAAGAGGAAAAUGAGGGACCUUAUCCCAGUGCAAGAUUAACAGCAGUCCCAUGACAUGAACCUGGGCUCCGGAGAUAAAACAGGACAUUCUCUCAUGUAUUCAAAUUCCUGGGCUAUGAAUAAUGUUUCGACUUGGCUGCUUGAUUCAAUUGACUGGCAAUUCUGACAAAAUUAAGCUCCUGGUUCCUCUUGUGGAUGCCACUAAAUCCCUGGUGAGGAAUCCUGUUGGAACAAAGCCGAUGAUGUUCUGACAAGAUGAGGGAGGCAGGCAAGUGGAUGCAAGAACAGAGAGAUCACAGAGGAACGGAUGCUGUUUUGGCAAGGGCAAGGGUCCAAAGUCUUUAACAACCAGCGUGCUACAUUCCACAGCCUUGUGAGGCUGGCCUUCCCCUACCCACUUCUGUGCCUGGAGGUAACACCCUAUCCAUUGCUGAAAGGUAGAUUAUUUUCCCUGCUGCCCAGCGCAUCAAGGCCAAAGGAGUUGGGGAUAAAUUAGUAGUUCCACUACUAUAUGUGGAAGAGAUGGCUAACAGGGACCUACUGUAUGGCACAGGGAAAUCUACACUAUAUUCUAUAGCAACCUGUAUGGGAAAAGAAUCAGAAGAAGAAUGAUUCAUUUUUAUUCACUUUGCUGUGCACCUGAAACUAAUACAAUAUUGUAAAUCAAUUAUAUUCCACUAAAAUUUAAAGAAUAAAAAAAAUUUUUUAAUGCCUUUUUAGGUAAAAGCAGCCAUUAUGGAAUCAAGCCUUAGGGAUUUUGCUUAGGAAGUUGUGCAGAAAUAGGACAUUUCUGAUUCCUUAUAUCUGGUGAUGUCACCUAUGAAAGGAAAAUACAAAUAAGGAGUCAAACUUAACUUUGAUAAAGCACAAGUGAAGGAGUGGGGCAAAGAGUGGGAAAAGAAUUAUGAAUUGGGGAAAAAUAACAAAGAAACAUAUGGGUCCAGAAUGAAAUUUCCCUCUGUCUUUUGGGUUUUACAUAAUGUGGGUGACCAGUCUGAUGAUAAUUCCCUUAGUAAUCGGGGAUAGGAAAUUGUGAUUUCACAAUUCACCAGAAAUACUAACGUUAAAAUGAAAACUCCUUUUAACCAAAUGGUAGGUAAAUUAUGAACUUACUAUCUGGGAAUAAAAUCAGGAAAGUAAGAAGGAGAGAGGCCAAGAAAACACUGAAUAUGAUCAUAAUCACAAAUUUAUUCCCCCCCCCAAAUCAUAUGGAGAGUGUUUGAUUAAAUUUUCCUUGUCUAGUAGCGGUCCUCUGAUCUCGAUUCUCUUAAGAUCUUUUCCUCCCUCCCUCCCACUCUUCCCCUUCCCUCCUUCCCUUCCUUCCUUUCUUUUUGUGUUUCUUUUCUUUUUACAGCCAUACCCGUGGCAUACAGAAGUUCCUGGGUCAGGGAUUGAAUCCGAGCUGCAGCUAUGGCCUAUGCCACAGCUGGCGACACUGGAUCUAAACUGCAUCCGUGACCUAUGCCACAGCUUGUGGCAACACGAGAUCCAUAACCCACUAGCGAGGCCAGGGAUCAAACUUAUAUCCUCACAGAGACAACACUGGAUUUUUAACCUGCUGAGCCACAACAGGAACUCCUGAUUUUGUUUCUUUUUGUGAUGCUCCCACUGGUCAAAGGCUAACCCUUGAUGUAUGUGACAUUAUUCCCUCCACUGGGAAGCAGCAUAACCUACAGCAUGAAGUGGCUCCUCAUGCAUCAGUUAUGGACAAACUGAACACAUAAGGACCUCCCAAACAUGGGUGGGAUAUAUAAUAGAGAAUAGCAAUUUACUCUAAUUAAUAACAUUCAAUUAUAGAGUCUUUGUAGAUAGAAGCUUAUAUGGGUGAAAGCUCAACUAUGGAAGGAUUCAAUUAUUGUUGCCAUUGGCAACAGUAAGUAAUGGACUGAAACAAAUACCAAUAGUAAUUAGUGUACACAGACCCUAGAUCACUGAGCAUGAUUUUUUUAACGUAUACUAGUGCACUUUUAUCAAUAAAAAGUGAGAACAUCCAUCCCUUCUAAUCUACACAAUGAGUUUGUUUAUCUGAUUCACCUUGGAAGGCUGGGAAUUCUUUUCCUGAAGGUUCUAAUACUGGGUGCCAUAUUGAAUGAACUACACCCCUGACAGUGGGAAAAGACAGGAUCACUUACCACCCAGGCAAGAGCUGAGGGUCUUCCAUGAGAAAUCCAACUAGAUUAAGAGUAAAGACCUAAAGAUAUUGACAUCAGAGGUUUCCCAGCAAAACAUCCUGGACAGAUCAUCCUAUAGCAAAUUUCACAACUGAUAUGCCCCACCCAUGCUUUCAGAGCAUCUCAUCAGAUUUUUAGUCUCCCAUUCUUAAAAAUGAGCCAACAACCACAGAUUACAGCCUCUAAUAAGAGAAACAGAGACCAAAACGAACAGCAAAGAAGAAAUCUGGGUAAAACUGAAGCUAUACAGGAGGGAAGAAAACUCUAACAGCAACAAAACCAAAGAAAACCAAACACCCACCUACAACUGAUAUCCUCAGAAACACGCUAUUGAAACCAUAAAAUGAGAACAAGAUGUUGUUUAAAGGAGAAAUCUCGAUUGUUCCUGUCAUGGCUCAGUGGUUAACAAAUCCAACUAGGAACCAUGAGGUUGCGGGUUCGAUUCCUGGCCUCACUCAGUGGGUUAACGAUCCAGCGUUGCCAUGAGCUGUGGUGUAUGUUGCAGAUGCAGCUUGGAUUCCAUGUUGCUGUGUCUGUGGCAUAAGCCUGCAGCUAUAGCUCAGACUGGACCCCUAGCCUGGGAACCUCCAUAUGCCCCGGGUGCGGCCCUAAAAAGACAAAAGACACACACACACACACACACACACACACACACACACACACACACACACCAUUUAGGAAAUCUCCCAGAAAGAAAAGCAAAGAGGCAAAGAGUUGGAAAUAAGAGGAAAAAAAGAGAAAUAGGCUAGCCCAGGAAUUCCAGGAGGAAAGAAAAAUAGGAGAGAACAUUAUUUCUAAAAACUAAUUAUUUAAGAUUUCCUAGACCUUAAGGGCAUGAGUUUUUAUACUGAAAGGGCCCUCUUAGUGCUCAGCAUCAGUGAGUGGAACUUGACCCACAUCAAGUCACACUGUUGUAAAAUUUCAGAACUCCAGGAAUAAAAAGAAGAUCUUUUAGACAGAAAAGAACAGUACUAUGCACAUAUAAAAGCUUAUUUUAUACAUCCAUACUAUCAAUAAUAAAGACAAAUUUAAUUAACCAUGCUAGAGAUCUUUUCUAUACAUAGCACUGUUUGUAAUACUGGUACAGGCUCAAGCAGACUUCUGAUAAAUUCUAUUUAUGUGUUUCCCACUUUAAAAAAAACUGUAUGAUGACUUUAUAACUGUAUGUGUUGCAUUAUCCAUUAUAUUCCUGAUAGGAGAAAACUAAAUUGCUGGAAAGUGAAUCCAUCACUUAGGACUUCCUCUAUCUGAUGAAUGGAAAAAAAACUUUUCUGAAGACUGGCUUCUGACCUCUUACAUUUAGACCAUGUUUCUCUGUCCCUACUUCUGCUGCCAGGCUUCAUAGAACAUGUUCAUAUCUUGUUAUAACCUCUAACCCUGCACCUUUAUGUUACA